rnacentral:rRNA from 1 species
AUUUGAAAUCUGGCGCCUUUGGUGUCCGAGUUGUAAUUUGAAGAAAGUAACUUUUGGAAUGAGCCUUGCAUAAGUUCCUUGGAACAGGACGUCAUAGAGGGUGAGAAUCCCGUAUAUGGUGGGGUAUUCAUUUCAAUGUAAAGUGCUUUCGAAGAGUCGAGUUGUUUGGGAAUGCAGCUCUAAGUGGGUGGUAAAUUCCAUCUAAAGCUAAAUAUUGGCGAGAGACCGAUAGCGAACAAGUACAGUGAUGGAAAGAUGAAAAGAACUUUGAAAAGAGAGUGAAAAAGUACGUGAAAUUGUUGAAAGGGAAGGGCUUGAAAUCAGACUUGGUAUUCAGUGAUCAGCGAUCUUUCGGGGUUGUGCACUUGCUGUUUACUGGGCCAGCAUCGGUUUUGACGGUGGGAUAAGAGUACUUGAAUGUGGCUCUCUUCGGGGAGUGUUUAUAGCCUGUGCUGAUACCACCAGUUGAGACCGAGGACCGCGCAUUUAUGCUAGGAUGCUGGCGUAAUGAUUUUAAGCCACCCGU